GAAGGUUUCCUCCUGAGUCAGGCAGAGGAGAGGAAGCAGGCGGAGAAGCAGGAAAAGGAUCUGUUGGCAGAAAAGGGACCAGAUUCCUCUGAGGCAGAGAGGACUUCGUUGGACACCAGAGAGAGGCCGCUGGGUGAAAGAAGGAUGCCGGCAAGACCUCCUCCUCCAUCUCUUCAUCCUGGUGGAGGGGAAGCAGCGGCUGAGGAACCGGAUCAGCAGGGAACCAAGGACCUGAGGCAGGUCAGGACCCUUGGGAACAACAACAACAAUGCGAGGGAUAACGCAUCGAAGAACUCGGACUUAUGCGAUGUUUUGCAUUGGAUCCCCUCCAACCCUGGGCUGAAGUCAGCGGACGAGUGAGGGGAGCCCAGCUGUGAACUUGGGUGGCCAGACAGAACAUGACUCCCUCCCUCCAGCAAGGAGAAGUGCUGCUGUGGCAGCGGGGGAAUGGAUCUCAACGCCCACGGGUUGACGCAGAAAUCAUUUUUGAGGCCUCAAAAUUCAAAGUUCAUCAUGCACAAUUGGCCAAAUGUUUGCUCUGACCUUGAGGGACUCUAAUAACAUACACUUCAAGCAGCGUGACUGUGCCCCGGUUUUACAACGGGACCCAAGUUGUGAUGGAUGUGUCUCUAUUUAGCUCUUUACGGGAGCUCUAUCUGUAGGGCUAUGUAGGCUCUUAGCCACGAGAUUAAGCGAGAACAGAAAUAUAGCAAUUAUAACUGGUCAUUUGCCUUUUUUA